rnacentral:tRNA from 1 species
AUUUAUAUAAUAUAAUUAAAAGUAUAUUUAAUUUCCAAUUAAAAUGUUUAAAAUAACUUAAUAUAAAUA